UACGUAGGUGGCAAGCGUUGUCCGGAAUUAUUGGGCGUAAAGGGCGCGUAGGCGGUCCCUUAAGUCAGAUGUGAAAUCCCGAGGCUCAACUUCGGGCGUGCAUUUGAAACUGGGGGACUAGAGUGCAGGAGAGGUAAGUGGAAUUCCUAGUGUAGCGGUGAAAUGCGUAGAUAUUAGGAGGAACACCAGUGGCGAAGGCGACUUACUGGACUGUAACUGACGCUGAGGCGCGAAAGCGUGGGGAGCAAACAGG
rnacentral:rRNA from 1 species